UUUGUAGCUAAUAUUGUAAAAUUGUAAUCAAAUUAUACUUAACUAAAAAUAACAUUUUUUUCUUAUAGGCAUUUUCUUAAUACUAUAACUGUAUAUUAUCGAAUUCUUAGAUUAUAUUAAACCCGGCCAACAUUACUGUUUCUCAUUUUUCAAAGCUUAAAAGUACACGUCUCUCAUGUCCAACCAGUGCAUUUUAUGUUUUUCCAAGCUUUGAUAUUCAUGUUAUUCAAAUUAAUAUAAUCUAUACAAUUAUGAUAUAAACGUUGGGGAAAUUAAGUUAUGAUUUUAUUAUUUACAAAAUUAUUUCACGUAAAUUUCGAUACAAAAACAAUCCACAAACUAAGUCGUGACAAUGUUUAAGUAAAUAACAGAAUAAUCAAGAAUAAAGCCUCGUACAGCAGAACAAGUUUUCCUUGGCAAGUUUUAUUUGUUCGUGUGAACGGGAAAAAUCCAAAGCAAGUUUUCCUUGGCAAGCGGCCUUGUUCAAAAUGUAGUCAUGUCAGCUUCUGAACAAGAAAAAUUGUUCGUGUGUACGGCCGUCAGAGAAAACUUGUCAAGUAAUUGCGCAGUACGUUACUGCGCACUCAUCUUCAAGCGCCCAUUGCCAUUUAAAGUCGUUUUGAUAUUCACCUUUAAAGUGUGGAACGUAGACAGUUUCAGCUGUUUUUAGAUUGUUUACGUACUUAAAUAGCGCGGGCUGGCAAAACUUGUUAAAAAAUCGAUUGAAAACACGUGCAUGGUCGUCGUAAACUCGACAAGGUCCGGAAAACUUGCCCGCCUGUACGGAGCUUAAAAAUACAAGUUUUGACCCAUUUGAAAGAACUUUAUAUAUUAAAUGCAAAUGCAAAACCUUUUACAAUUUUUUCGUUCGUUAUGCCUUCAUUUUUAGCACCUAACAUGUAUUUUUGACAUGCAUGUCAUGUAACCCUAUUAGGAUAUAACAACUCGAAAAACAAACUGCUUCGUACGUUAAGUGAUGAGUCAGUGGUUUUCAAAAUACAAUUUUCAUGUUUCGUUUUUCUGAACAGCGACCACUACUAAAAAUAUGAAACUUCCGAAACUUCAGGACCUUAAUCAAUAUGUUUCUUCGUAUAGAAUAUAAAAUUUCUUCAAAGCCGAGUCCACGUUACACAUUGCGAUUUGUGUGGCUGAUUUAAGACCACUCUACACUCCACAAAAAUGUUUGAAAAUAUUUGUCAUUAAAUAAGAUCAUCCUGAAAUUGCCCCAAAAAUCGCAGAGUGAAAUGAGCUCAGAACAAUGAUGAAAUAUUGAAAAAAGUCUAGCAUCGUAAUUAUUACAAAAGCAUUGUUGUACGUAUCUUUCAAAUGGCAAACAUGUUGUUCUUAUUUUACACAGUUUUCACUGUCGUUGCAACAGAAGUGUUGAUAAAAUAUUGCAACAAUUCAAUACCUAACAUUGAUCAAUUCAUUUGAUCAAAAAUUGUUCACCUUCCUGUUUACUGGCAUGCUUGUUCCUAAUUGGUCAAUCAGUCACCGAAACGCAAAGCACACAGGAAGUUGAUCAAUUUUUCAACGAAUGAAUUGAUCAAUUCUAAGUAAUGAAUUGAUGCGACAUUUUAUCAAUACUUCCAUUGCAACGACAGUAAUGCUGUAUAUAUUGGAUGAAAUAGAGAUGCGACAAAACAAUGUGGUCACCAAACCCGAUCGCAUUUACGCAACUCUUCAGAAAAUGAGCCUUAUAAGGUGAGAGUAAUAAGAUGCAGUAAAAAAGCAAAAACAUCAUCUUAAUUCCCUAUCCAUUUAUCUCUCGUAAAUGCCAGCAAGGUUAGUGUUAUCUCUUAUCUAAAGUCAUAUUUUAUAUUUAAAUCUUAUAUGCAAGGACGCUGGAACAAGGCAAGGAUUUCUCCAAUUCGGCAAUAUUUCAAUGAAAGAAAUAUUUGUUAUAAUCUCAAACGUCAUUACAUUCAGACAUAUCAGUCUCUAGGACAAUAUAAAUUGAGAUGAAAAAAUACUCUAUACAAAAACUUGGUUUUAUAGCAAAUUGUAGUCAUAAUUCAAAAUUAUAGAAAAAAAUUAGAACCGCACAUCUUUCUAGUAUAUUUUGACUUCAUGUCUGAAACAUUUCCACACGGCACACUUGUGCUAACUUGACGAAUGAUAUCAUGAUAUGCAUGCAUCUCACGAUCGGUCGGACCAUUCUUAGAUUCGACUCGACGUCUCCCCUUUAUGAGGGUGUUGAUGGGGUAUAUCGUGAGUCGUGAUUCACUCAAUUUCGGUUAUACCGUUAGUCGUGAAAAUAUACUGUUUAUCGUUUCAGAACACUUUUCAAAGACUUACCGUUAAAAUACGAAAAUGUUACUUAUUGUUGCUGUUAAAAUACGAAAAUGUUUACCGUUUACUGAUUUUCAGACUCCUCCCCAACUAUUAGACCCUCUUUUAUUGUUCCAGCCUCCCUGAGUAUACUGUAAGUAAAGUAAUGCAGUGCAUGGAAAACUUUAAAGAAACUUAUAGUCAUACGAUAUAAAAAUAUGUAUCAUAAAAUAUAGUCAUACGAUAUAAAAUUAUAAUACUAAAAUACGCUUAUCUUGGAAAUAUGCUUGCACUAAACGACUGAUAUAUUAAUAAUUGAUUUCGUGCGUAAUUUAAUCAUGCAUUAGAGAUUUUCAGUGGCGAGCCAGCCAUAGCAACUGGUAAUUUGCUUUAACCUAUUUAGAUGCAGGUUUAAUAGCACUGCAUGACCACUAGCCCUGGCUAUAGCUUCGCAUCAUAUAUAUUCUUUAUCAACCAUACUUG
rnacentral:lncRNA from 1 species